CCUACGGGUGGCAGCAGUGAGGAAUAUUGGUCAAUGGGCGGAAGCCUGAACCAGCCAAGUCGCGUGAGGGAAUACGGCCCUACGGGUUGUAAACCUCUUUUGCCGGGGAGCAAGGGCCGGGACGUGUCCCGUCCCGGAGAGUACCCGGAGAAAAAGCAUCGGCUAACUCCGUGCCAGCAGCCGCGGUAAUACGGAGGAUGCGAGCGUUAUCCGGAUUUAUUGGGUUUAAAGGGUGCGUAGGCGGGCUGUUAAGUCAGCGGUAAAAUUUCGGGGCUCAACCCCGUCCGGCCGUUGAAACUGGGGGCCUUGAGUGGACGAGAAGAAGGCGGAAUGCGUGGUGUAGCGGUGAAAUGCAUAGAUAUCACGCAGAACCCCGAUUGCGAAGGCAGCCUUCCGGCUCCCUACUGACGCUGAGGCACGAAAGUGCGGGGAUCGAACAGGAUUAGAUACCCUAGUAGUC
rnacentral:rRNA from 1 species